UACGUAGGGGGGCUAGCGUUGUCCGGAAUCAUUGGGCGUAAAGAGCGUGUAGGCGGCUCAGUAAGUCCGCUGUGAAAGUCCAGGGCUCAACCCUGGAAUGCCAGUGGAAACUGUUGAGCUAGAGUCCGGAAGAGGCGAGUGGAAUUCCUGGUGUAGCGGUGAAAUGCGCAGAUAUCAGGAGGAACACCAAUGGCGAAGGCAGCUCGCUGGGACGGUACUGACGCUGAGGUGCGAAAGCGUGGGGAGCAAACAGG
rnacentral:rRNA from 1 species